GUGCUUGCUUCAACAGGACAUAUACUAAAAAACUGGAGUGAUACAGAGAAGAUUAGCAUGGCCCCUGUGCAAGGAUGACAUGCAAAUUCGUGAAGCGUUCCAUAGUUUU